rnacentral:rRNA from 1 species
CUAUAAUGCAGUCGAGCGGACCGACGGGAGCUUGCUCCCUUAGGUCAGCGGCGGACGGGUGAGUAACACGUGGGUAACCUGCCUGUAAGACUGGGAUAACUCCGGGAAACCGGGGCUAAUACCGGAUGCUUGAUUGAACCGCAUGGUUCCAAUCAUAAAAGGUGGCUUUUAGCUACCACUUACAGAUGGACCCGCGGCGCAUUAGCUAGUUGGUGAGGUAACGGCUCACCAAGGCGACGAUGCGUAGCCGACCUGAGAGGGUGAUCGGCCACACUGGGACUGAGACACGGCCCAGACUCCUACGGGAGGCAGCGGUAGGGAAUCUUCCGCAAUGGACGAAAGUCUGACGGAGCAACGCCGCGUGAGUGAUGAAGGUUUUCGGAUCGUAAAACUCUGUUGUUAGGGAAGAACAAGUACCGUUCGAAUAGGGCGGCACCUUGACGGUACCUAACCAGAAAGCCACGGCUAACUACGUGCCAGCAGCCGCGGUAAUACGUAGGUGGCAAGCGUUGUCCGGAAUUAUUGGGCGUAAAGCGCGCGCAGGCGGUUUCUUAAGUCUGAUGUGAAAGCCCCCGGCUCAACCGGGGAGGGUCAUUGGAAACUGGGGAACUUGAGUGCAGAAGAGGAGAGUGGAAUUCCACGUGUAGCGGUGAAAUGCGUAGAGAUGUGGAGGAACACCAGUGGCGAAGGCGACUCUCUGGUCUGUAACUGACGCUGAGGCGCGAAAGCGUGGGGAGCGAACAGGAUUAGAUACCCUGGUAGUCCACGCCGUAAACGAUGAGUGCUAAGUGUUAGAGGGUUUCCGCCCUUUAGUGCUGCAGCAAACGCAUUAAGCACUCCGCCUGGGGAG